CGGGGCGCAGCCGAGCACGGGGCCAGACCAAGGCGCGAAACUUCGGCCGCAGCUGGGUCCCCGGCUCAGUCACGGCGUGGAACUCAGCAGCGAAGGCUGGACGCUUGCGUGGCGCUUAAGAGAUCCCAUCGUGCCUGGCUCACAUAAGCUCUUCCUGGAAGUGAAGUGCUGUCCUGAACGUGGCCCAGGCAGCCGCGGCCUGGGGGUUUUGAGUGAUCAUGAAUGGGCAAGGUGUUUGGGCUCAAGAGACAAACCUGUAAGUCCAUCCUGGCUGAGUCUCCGCAGUCCCCGGCAGAUCUUGUUGAAAAGAAGGAAGAAGACAGCAACAUGAAGAGGAAGACAGAGCAGCCCAGAGAGCAUCCCAGGGCCUGGGACUACCCUCAUGGCCUGGUUGGUUUACACAACAUUGGACAGACCUGCUGCCUUAACUCCUUGAUUCAGGUGUUUGUAAUGAACAUGGACUUCACCAGGAUAUUGAAGAGGAUCACGGUGCCCAGGGGAGCUGAUGCGCAGAGGAGAAGCGUGCCUUUCCAGAUGCUUCUGCUGUUGGAGAAGAUGCAGGACAGCCGGCAGAAAGCAGUGCGGCCCCUGGAGCUUGCCUACUGCCUGCAGAAGUACAACGUGCCCAUGUUUGUCCAGCAUGAUGCCGCCCAACUCUACCUCAAACUCUGGAACCUGAUUAAGGACCAGAUCACUGAUGUGCACUUGGUGGAGAGGCUGCAGGCCCUGUAUAUGAUCCGGGUGAAGGACUCCUUGAUUUGCCUCGACUGUGCCGUGGAGAGUAGCAGAAACAGCAGCAUGCUUACCCUUCCACUGUCUCUUUUUGAUGUGGACUCAAAGCCCCUGAAGACACUGGAGGAUGCCCUGCACUGCUUCUUCCAGCCCAGGGAGUUAUCAAGCAAAAGCAAGUGCUUCUGUAAGAACUGUGGGAAGAAGACCCGUGGGAAACAGGUCUUGAAGCUGACUCAUUUGCCCCAGACCCUGACAAUCCACCUCAUGCGAUUCUCCAUCAGGAAUUCACAGACAAGAAAGAUCUGCCAUGCCCUGCACUUCCCCGAGAGCUUGGAUUUCAGUCAGGUCCUUCCGAUGGAGCGAGAGCCCUGUGAUGCUGAGAAGCAGCCUGGAGGGCAGUAUGAGCUUUUUGCUGUGAUUGCACACGUGGGAGUGGCAGACUCCGGUCAUUACUGUGUCUACAUCCGGAAUGCUGUGGAUGGAAAAUGGUUCUGCUUCAAUGACUCCAAUAUUUGCUUGGUGUCCUGGGAAGACAUCCAGUGUACCUACGGAAAUCCUAACUACCUCUGGUAAGAAACGGAUUUGGGUAAUGGGAGCCUGAUGAGCUCACAUAGGGUCCUUGGAGCUGCGUGAAACGCCUGUGGAUUCCCCUGUUACUCACAUGCUGAUGACUCACUGUCCGCCUCAUCUCCAACACUCACCCCACCAGCCCAUGCUUGCCUCACACGUCACACUCCAGGAAUAUCGAAGUACAAGCAGGAAACUGCGUAUCUUCUAGUUUACAUGAAGAUGGAAUGCUAACGGAUAUGCCCAAACCCUUCAGAGAUUGACACGCUAUAAUUUUCCAUUCCAUUCCUGGAUCUAUGGAGUCUUCUGAGUCUUCUAAGAGAUUUUGUAAUGAGGAGAAGCAUCGUUUUCAGACUAUGUAACUGAGCCUUAUUUAUAAUCAGGGAUAUUACCAAAAUAUUUAACAGUGAGGGUCCUCAGGUCCUGAUCAGUCAGAAUGGACGCUUUCACCAGUGGACUCGGCCAUGUGGCUGCUCAGUCCUGGGUGCUCGCUGCUGUGCAAGACGUUAGCCCUUUAGUUAGCAGGCUGUGGGGAGUCCAGGUGCUCCCAGUGGGGAGAGCAGCGGCAGUGGGAGACAUCUGGGGGCCAAAGGUCAGUGGCAGGGGGUAUUUCAGUGUUUUAUAACUGCUAUGACCAGACUCGUGUGUACUGGCUGAAUAUCAGUGCUGUUUGUAGUUUUUCACUUUGAGAAUUGACAUUAAUUCUAUAUAAAUCACGUGUUUAGUAACUGUUAUUCAUUUAUUCAGCAAAUAUUUAUUGAUCACCCAUUCUCCAUAAGAUAGUGUGAUAAACACAAUCAUGAAUAAAGUUAUUUUCCACAAAA